rnacentral:rRNA from 1 species
UAGUUAUGUUCUUUAAACCUAAAGAAUUUGGCGGUGUUUUAGUCUUUUCAGAGGAAUUUGUCCCAUAAUCGAUAGUCCUCGUUUUAAUUGUUCUUAAUUUUGUUUUCAGUAUGUAUACCGCCGUUAUAAGUUUAUUUUUUUAGAUUUAAUAAUUUACUAAUAUUUUUAUUAGAAUUUAUUUCAGGUCAAGGUGCAGCUUAUAGUUAAGUGGAGAUGAAUUACAAUAUUAUGUUGAAUAUAUGGAUAUGAAUUUGAAAUGUUUAUUUAAGGUGGAUUUGUUAGUAAUUAUAUGAAUAUUAUUAUUUUGAUUUUAGCUCUAAAAUAAGUACACAUCGCCCGUCGCUCUA